GACGAACCGUGCGAACGUUGUUCGGAAUCACUGGGCUUAAAGGGCGCGUAGGCGGACUGCCGCGUCUGGGGUGAAAUCCUCCGGCUCAACCGGAGAAGUGCCUCGGGUACGGGCGGUCUCGGAGGGGGGUAGGGGCGUGCGGAACUGUGGGUGGAGCGGUGAAAUGCGUAGAGAUUGGAAAGAACACCGAUGGCGAAGGCACUUUACUGGGCUAUUACUAACACUCAGAGACGAAAGCUAGGGUAGCAAAUGGG
rnacentral:rRNA from 1 species